rnacentral:rRNA from 1 species
AGUGAACGCUGGCGGUAGGCCUAACACAUGCAAGUCGAACGGCAGCACAGUAAGAGCUUGCUCUUACGGGUGGCGAGUGGCGGACGAGUGAGGAAUACAUCGGAAUCUACUUUUUCGUGGGGGAUAACGUAGGGAAACUUACGCUAAUACCGCAUACGACCUACGGGUGAAAGCAGGGGAUCUUCGGACCUUGCGCGAUUGAAUGAGCCGAUGUCGGAUUAGCUAGUUGGCGGGGUAAAGGCCCACCAAGGCGACGAUCCGUAGCUGGUCUGAGAGGAUGAUCAGCCACACUGGAACUGAGACACGGUCCAGACUCCUACGGGAGGCAGCAGUGGGGAAUAUUGGACAAUGGGCGCAAGCCUGAUCCAGCCAUACCGCGUGGGUGAAGAAGGCCUUCGGGUUGCAAAGCCCUUUUGUUGGGAAAGAAAAGCAGCAGGUUAAUACCCCGCUGUUCUGACGGUACCCAAAGAAUAAGCACCGGCUAACUUCGUG